GAUGAACGCUGGCGGCGUGCCUAAUACAUGCAAGUCGAGCGAACGGACGAGAAGCUUGCUUCUCUGAUGUUAGCGGCGGACGGGUGAGUAACACGUGGGUAACCUACCUAUAAGACUGGGAUAACUUCGGGAAACCGGAGCUAAUACCGGAUAAUAUUUUGAACCGCAUGGUUCAAAAGUGAAAGACGGUCUUGCUGUCACUUAUAGAUGGAUCCGCGCUGCAUUAGCUAGUUGGUAAGGUAACGGCUUACCAAGGCAACGAUGCAUAGCCGACCUGAGAGGGUGAUCGGCCACACUGGAACUGAGACACGGUCCAGACUCCUACGGGAGGCAGCAGUAGGGAAUCUUCCGCAAUGGGCGAAAGCCUGACGGAGCAACGCCGCGUGAGUGAUGAAGGUCUUCGGAUCGUAAAACUCUGUUAUUAGGGAAGAACAUAUGUGUAAGUAACUGUGCACAUCUUGACGGUACCUAAUCAGAAAGCCACGGCUAACUACGUGCCAGCAGCCGCGGUAAUACGUAGGUGGCAAGCGUUAUCCGGAAUUAUUGGGCGUAAAGCGCGCGUAGGCGGUUUUUUAAGUCUGAUGUGAAAGCCCACGGCUCAACCGUGGAGGGUCAUUGGGAACUGGAAAAACUUGAGUGCAGAAGAGGAAAGUGGAAUUCCAUGUGUAGCGGUGAAAUGCGCAGAGAUAUGGAGGACACCCAGUGCGAAAGGCGACUUUCUGGUCUGUAACUGACGCUGAUGUGCGAAAGCGUGGGGAUCAAACAGGAUUAGAUACCCUGGUAGUCCACGCCGUAAACGAUGAGUGCUAAGUGUUAGGGGGUUUCCGCCCCUUAGUGCUGCAGCUAACGCAUUAAGCACUCCGCCUGGGGAGUACGACCGCAAGGUUGAAACUCAAAGGAAUUGACGGGGACCCGCACAAGCGGUGGAGCAUGUGGUUUAAUUCGAAGCAACGCGAAGAACCUUACCAAAUCUUGACAUCCUUUGACAACUCUAGAGAUAGAGCCUUCCCCUUCGGGGGACAAAGUGACAGGUGGUGCAUGGUUGUCGUCAGCUCGUGUCGUGAGAUGUUGGGUUGAGUCCCGCAACGAGCGCAACCCUUAAGCUUAGUUGCCAUCAUUAAGUUGGGCACUCUAAGUUGACUGCCGGUGACAAACCGGAGGAAGGUGGGGAUGACGUCAAAUCAUCAUGCCCCUUAUGAUUUGGGCUACACACGUGCUACAAUGGACAAUACAAAGGGCAGCGAAACCGCGAGGUCAAGCAAAUCCCAUAAAGUUGUUCUCAGUUCGGAUUGUAGUCUGCAACUCGACUACAUGAAGCUGGAAUCGCUAGUAAUCGUAGAUCAGCAUGCUACGGUGAAUACGUUCCCGGGUCU
rnacentral:rRNA from 1 species